UUCAACUCAGCAAGAAAAAGCCCUAGGGCCUUCAUCUUAAUCUUUAGCAGUGGGAAUGCCUAGGUCGAUUCUUUAGGGUUCAACAACAAAUUCGUAAACAUCAAACGUAUACGAUUCUGGAUCUCGGCAUGAUUAUGGCGCUUUAGAGCCGGCGACGUGAACAUCAUUCGUGAGAAAAGUUCAUACAAAACUCAAAAAUUUCUAUGGUUUCGAUUAUUGAGUGAGGUACAAGGAGGUUUAAUCGUUUUGGACUUCUCUAUGAUCCAUCCUAAAAACUCAAUCCACACUUCGAACUUCUCUGAUUCUCUCUUCUUCCGCUCCCCAAUCUCCGAUCCAACUCCAAUCGAGAUCUUCAAUAACUUUGAACUUCUCUAUGAUCCAUCCAACCAUUCCUUCGACUGUUCCUUCCUAGAGAAAAAACAGCAUCUCUAGUUGCGUGUGAUUGAUGGGAUUCCACAACUUAUUUUUGUACGCUCCGGCUACACUAUAGAGGUAAAUUUAACUCAUUUUAAUGGUAGGUUACCUGAAACCCAAAAUCAAAAAAAUCCAAUUCUAUAAACCGGACCGAGUGCCCUGUUGUCGACUUCUCUCUUUGCAGGUUCUACCACCACUUCACGGCUACCUGCUUGAGCCUCAUCCCCUGAUUGGAGUCACCAGAUUGCUUGGGUUUUUUCGAACAGCAGCACGUAGGUGGUGUUCUUUUUAUUAUCUGCUCCAGCGUGGAGAAUGUUUGAGGAAGAACUAACCAAAGGAAAUGAAUACAUAAAGGAACAGACUACUGAUAAAGAGGCAGAAAAAAUGAAGGCAGAAAGAAAACUGAAAAUAAAAAGAUGUUUAUUGAAGGAAGAUGCUAAGGCUGAUAAGUGCGGGGUAUGCUAUUUUAGCCAAAUUCCUCCACGUAUGGAUCCUAUAAAGCUUCAUCAAUUUUUUCCCAAUUUGGAGAGCUUGAAAGAAUUUAUCUUACACCUGAAGAUCCUGCAGCUCAUGUUCAUUGUAAAAAAGUUGGUGGCUAUCGUGGCUAAGGAUUCACAGAAGGAAUAUAUUGAUACUUAACUUCUGAGGAGCCGCAGGCAGCAAAAGUGACUCGCCAAUUCCCUCAAACAAAACUAGUCAGAGACAACGCAGAAAAGAAAAAGGCUGGACUCUCAAAAGAUGUUUUGGCUUUAAUGUCAUUUUUUUCUUCAAAAUUCUUGUGGUUUUACAUAGAAUAACACUUUAUUUUCUAAAAAAUAACAAAACAAUGAUAUUUUAUUUUAGCUUUAGUUGAGUUUUGUAUUUACAUGUAGUAAAAUUUUUUCAUAUAACAAUUCAUUCCAUUUCUAAAUUUCUAUAUUUCAAUUUUUUAUUUUAGCUUUGGAAUCAACUAGUCCCUUCUGAUAUGCAGGUAAUUAUUAUAAAAUUCAAAAAUAUAAUUAUUUCUUGUUUUGAGUCUGAUUUUUCUAAUAUAAAAUUGGUUGCAACAGAUGUGAUAGUGGAUGGAUUGCUGUUGCAUCUUUAGGGAUAUAUAAACUGCCAACCAGCUUCCAAAUUAACUUCAUCUCUAUAAUAUAUAAGACUACAUUUAUGAUCCUUGAGUCUAGCUUAUUUUUCCAAUUUUAGUCCACAUAAGGUUUUCUAUAGUCAUUUUGGUCCUCAUUUUGCUUGAAGAAGCUUAACGAUUUUGGUUAUUGCGCUAAGCCUCCAAUUAAUGACACAUAUGCAAGAAAAGGGCAGAAAAUGGUUGAAGGGUAAUUUGGGAAAAGUCUUGCAUUGGGUCUAUUUUUGUCAGUAUAAGUAGUGGUGAGAACAUUUUGUGGCAUCUUUUUGUCGAAUGGACAGGGUAGGGUUGUCUUUUUGAUAUUAUUAUCUGAAUUUUGAAUCCAUUGAAGUUGCAAUUCUUCAUUUGUAUUGAGUUUUCUGUUAAAUGAAAAACAAUUUACGCAAUUAAGUUAAAUGAAAAACAAUUUACGCAAUUAAGUUAAAUAAUUUUUUUUUUGAAAAAGGUGGCUGCCAUUUUACUUGUUCCAUUAAGAAAGCAAAAAGUCAGGAGAAAACUUUUUGAGAC